UGGCGGUAUACCCAUGAAGGUUUGAGAGGUGGUGAGUGCAAGUCUUCGACCUGUUCCCUCUCCCGUGUCUGCCCCACAGAUCUGCUUUGAAUGUUUCUACAACCUCUGACUCCUUCACCGCUGAACAAACCUCUAUGACACACUUCCAGUUCAGGUCGCAGCAGGAGGUUGGGAGGUACUAGCACGGCUUCUGAGCUGACACGGACUACAGCUUCUAUUCAGUGCUCCUUUAUCCUAAUAUCGUCACAGGAUACAGUCGGAAUAAGACUCUUGAUAAGGUUAAAAGAAAUAAAGGUCUAUCUUUCAAGAACAACUCACAAGAAAUGAAGCACAGAAAAGGCAAAGCAAAUCAGUUACCAAUAGAAACGUCUGAAUUUGGUACGCAGCCAUGUGAAAUCACAAAAUGGUGACCUUAACUUGCUGCUGUAUGAGUCGCUAGUUAUCAAAUUACUUUCCCCAUGGAAACAGACAUCGUGAGUUUUAAACAAUUGAAUUUCUAAACGGAUCAGUUGUGGCUCUUAUAUUGCAAACAACAUCAUGUCAAUAUAAAUUAAUAACAAAACACAGAAAGAGACUGAAAAACAAUUAGUAACAUUAUACUAAAGGCAUUUCACUUGUUGCAUUUAAGAGAUAAUUAUAAACUUGAUUACCUUUUUUAAA